rnacentral:lncRNA from 12 species
CAGAGUAAUAUAAAAUAUGCAUCUAUUAUUUUUGGUUCAUCAGAUUGGGUUAUUUUUAAUUUUAAUAAGAUGCAACAAUAAUUAAGCGAUUUAAAAUAUAUAAUUUAAUACUGAACUAGUUUCUUAGUAGUGUUGCACAUGAGGUUCCAGGGACACGCUCAGCUACAAGGUCCAACAGAAAGACAGCAGGCGAAGAUGGAGCCUGGAAAGCAGCCCAUGUUGGCGAGGACUAGAGAGGAUUGCAGAAUUCCAGGGAGGAGACAGCAAAAACCCAAACUGGCACUAGGGAAAAGAGGGAUUUUGGCGUGUGUCUGUGCAUAGAAUUCUUCAGAAUCUGUUUCUGAAAGCUAUUUUGUGCCACCUUCAACUGACUGGAAGACUAUGUUUGGGAGAAUGAUGUGAAAUGUUAUCUUUGGAUGUUGGAGAUAAUUCUUUAAAGCACUGUAGUAUUUGGAAAAUGGUAUUUGAAUCAAUAAAUAAUUAAAUUAAUGAUGAUCUUUUGGGGAA